UCCGUAGGUGAACCUGCGGAAGGAUCAUUACCGAGUGCAGGUCUGCCCCCGGGCAGGCCUAACCUCCCACCCGUGAAUACCUGACCAACGUUGCUUCGGCGGUGCGCCCCCCCCGGGGGUAGCCGCCGGAGACCACACCGAACCUCCUGUCUUUAGUGUAGUCUGAGCUUGAUAGCAAACCUAUUAAAACUUUCAACAAUGGAUCUCUUGGUUCCGGCAUCGAUGAAGAACGCAGCGAACUGCGAUAAGUAAUGUGAAUUGCAGAAUUCAGUGAAUCAUCGAGUCUUUGAACGCACAUUGCGACCCCUGGCAUUCCGGGGGGCAUGCCUGUCCGAGCGUCAUUGCUGCCCUUCAAGCCCGGCUUGUGUGUUGGGUCGUCGUCCCCCCCGGGGGACGGGCCCGAAAGGCAGCGGCGGCACCGCGUCCGGUCCUCGAGCGUAUGGGGCUUUGUCACCCGCUCGAUUAGGGCCGGCCGGGCGCCAGCCGGCGUCUCCAACCUUCUAUUUUACCAGGUUGACCUCGGAUCAGGUAGGGAUACCCGCUGAACUUAAGCAUAUCAAUAAGCGGAGGA
rnacentral:rRNA from 1 species